rnacentral:misc_RNA from 1 species
GUCCUGAGGGUUCAGACCACAUCCGACUACAGUCCCCAGGAGGCCAUAACUCACGCUAUCACCGAUCUCAUCUCAGAGUUCUCCUUGCUGGAGGAGAGAUUUAAGGAGGCAGUUCGUGAGAAGCAAGAAGGAGACAUGAUAUAAAGAGUUAGCAGAAAUACAUGUAGAUACUUGAGCUCAAAUAACAACCCACUCUAAUAAAAGACUGAUUGGUCUGACUUAGUUUUUUAGGACCAAGUAUACUAGUUUGUGAAUGGGGAACUCAAAGACUGUAAAACUACACAAGUACAGGGUUCUAGAUCUGGAAUGCCCAUGUCAUAUUUACAAUACAUGUUUGGAUCUGAUGAUGUGUUGUGUUGUAAGUUUGUGUCUGACAAAAGAGCUGAGGUUUUGUGUGUGUCUGACAAAAGAGCUGAGGUUUUGUGUGUGUCUGAUAAAAGAGAUACGAGUGUUGCAAGAACUGUGAGUCUGUUAGAAUAUUGUAAUAUUUCAAUUGUUACAUCUUUGUCUGUGUGUGUGUGUUUAAUAAUGUGUGUGUAUGGUCUUGUGUCGGUGUGUAUUGAUGGUUAAGAAGCAUGAAAGAAUUGAUAUGCAAAGUUUUGUAUCUGAAUAAAGGUGAGCGUGUU